UCCAUAAUAAUCUGUGCUACUUGUAUUAAAACAAGAAAGAAUGAGUUAAGAAGGUUCAAGGAAAGUUAAUCGAGUUAGUAAGAAUAUCGUUAUAUAUACAUGGUUUCCUUAAGUAUCCCAAGGCGACACGGUUACCUAAAGGGUGUGGAAUCGCGCUAUGAGUAUGUAUAUGAAGUAAUGCGAGUGACCUUUUAAAGUAUUUGAGAUUAUUAGUAAUGAUAUAGAGGGUGGACAAAAGAUAUGAAUAUACUUUUGCGAUUGGAGUUUCGUCAAAGCUUUGUGAGUUCUCUAGUUAUGUUUAAGGUUAUUGUGAGUCUCUGGACCCUUCAAGAUGUGUAUAUGGAUUUUUUUAUUGAUGUAUAUAAGUGUGUAUAUGUAUGCAUAAGAGGUUACAUAAGGUUGGAAGAGGAUUAGAAGUUAAACGAAAUGAAUCGGAACAACUUCAGUAAAAUUUCGGACCCGAUUUUAGUCUAUAUUGUAGGAGGCAUAUCUCCUUGAAUAUGAGGAGUUUUAAGGUGUUUCAAAAUCCUAAAAUGAAGUUCAUCGAGUCUAGUUUGUAAUGCAACAAACCACUCGUCAAAAUGAUAUCGGGAUAAGGAGAUAUGGACGAUGCAAGUUGGGCUGGCAGGGCAGCAAGUUUGGACCCGACCCAAACACUCACAUUUCGGCCCAUGAGGCCCAUUAAACUCAAUAGAUAAGUCACCACUUUGCCCUAUAUCAUUUCACACGACCUAAAACAGAUCCAAAACCCUUAUUUUCUCUCCCAAACCCCCUUUCUAAUUGAGCCAUCAUAUAAGCUAAAUCCUAGACCCUUGACAUGAUAUUAGUUAAAGAGAAGUUGUAGCUUAAGUUUUUUUUUGUGUUGUUAAGCAAGCAGCUGGAAAGAGGAACAAGAUUCUUGAAGAUUCUGAUUGCUAAAGGUAAUUUCAACCUCCCACUCAUGUUAUCAAUUUGGAUUAAAGGUUUAAUAUGGUGUAUACGUGAAGGAAACGUUGAUAUACAAGCUAGAGAGAGAGAGAGCAUAAGCCAUGGCAUUCGGCCAUGGCUAGCAAAAUUGGAGCUCAAAUUUGUUGAUCCAAAAAUCAGAUUUUCUAGGUAUUUCAGCCCUUAGGAAGGUGAUAAUAACGUGGAGAAUUCAUUUGGAGCAACAAGAACAAGUAUUAGUGCAUUUCACAAAUUCUAGCUAAGUGGAAAAAGCCAACUUGUUAAGGUAAGAGUUGAUCAUUUUUCUAUGUGUUUGAUGAUGAAGUUGGACGUGUGGGGAAUAUGCAAAUGUAAAUUGUAUGUGUGAAAUUAUGUAUCUUGAUGUUGAAGCAUAGUUGUAACUUGGUAACAUGAAUUGCACGAAUGUUGGAAUGUUGUUGAAAUGUUGUUGAAUGCCGUAGGGGCUGUUUUUAAUUGAAAUUUGAUGGACUGAUUUGAAUUAAUAUUUUGGUUGUUGUAAUCAUAGAUUAUGUGAUGAGAAUGAAGGAAUUUAAUGGUUAGAGUUGGAGUUAAAAUUGUUGUGGGUUGUUGUAAGGAUUAUAGAGAUAAUAAUGUGAUUUACUUGCAUAUGGAUAGAUGAUGUGGUGUCGUGUGGCUGCUGUUGUAUUUCCCUGAAAUUUGCUGAAAAGAUGGCAUGAAAUAAGUCGUAAGAAGUGUAUAUGGGCUGCUUGGUGUGUUGUAAGUGUUCGUUAGAAUUUCGGGCAUCGUUAUGUUAUAGUUUAGGGGCUGUUUUCGGCCCAAUUUGGAGAAAUUGUUGGAUCGUUGGAAAUAUUAUGUGAAUUGUUUAGAAUGUUCUUGAAUGUUGUUAGUAUGGGUUUGGGUUAGUAUUUGGAUGUAUAGGCGUUGAUGUUGGCUUGAAGGUAAGCCGUUGAAUUGAAUAUUUGGAAAGUUGUCGAAUGAUGAAAAAGAGAGUAUUAAUGUAAUAUUGUCUUUCGGAUUGGUUAUUGGAGUUGCUAGGUUGGUUAUUGUGGUUGUUGUUGUUGAUUUUGAGCGAGUUAAAUUCUCGGGAUGGCCUAUUUACAGGGGAAGUGCUGCCGAAUUUUCUGUAGAAUUUAAUGUUAGUUUGGAAUGAAUGGCUUAAGUGCCUAUGUUUAAUAUUGGAUAUUCGUUGGCAUAUUUGUAGACCUUGGGGAGCCCGAGGCGUAGAUUGGAAUUUACUUUAGAUUGGCUAUCUUGGAGUGCGUACGAGGUAUGUAAAGCGCAACCCUUCUUUCUUUUGGCAUGCCUUAGUUUUCAAUAGGCUAUAUCACGAGCCUCGAGGAAAUUCCAAAUUCGAAAUCCGAGCACGUUAUGAUCCUUAUAUAUAUUUCUUGGCAUUCUUAUGUAUGUUGUGAUGAAGUAUGAACAAUUAUGUCUUCGAAAGCAUUGAUUUCCAAACUUUGUACAAAAAGUUGUUUUAAAGAAUUCCGUAACUACGAAAUGCCAUAUCUUUUGCAUAAAGGCUCGGAUUGCUCCAAUAUUUUCAUAAGAGUUUGCAUGAUGUAUAAUGAGUAUGUUUUCCAUGAGCGGGCCCGAUUCGGGUCGAUACCCGUUCGUGGGUCCCGCGACUUUUCUUUAUGUAAUUCGGACGACUUUUGAAAGAAUUUGGUAUGAUUAUCAUUUCGAAUUUCAAAUAUGAUCAUUUUACUUAUGUUUGAAUUUAUGAUAAUGAUUUUAUGCAUAUGACUACUCUAUUAACUACUAAACAAAAAUUGUUUUAAAUAGUUCAUUAAGUCUUAUAAAUUGUUUUGGCCCUCGGAACGACUUCAGAAAGGUAUGCUUCUGUAAUUCAUUAUGACAUCCGAAACUCACUUAUUAUGAUCCCGUCUGACUUCAUUGAAUUGGUUUGCCAUUGAUAUGCCUCAUCGAGUCUCUGAAAAUAUUUAUGAUAUUUUAACUGCAUUUAGUUUCUCACUACUCUAUUCGUGGAUGCCCCAAUGUUUCCCACACUGAGCCCGGGCCAGGAUAUGUUGUCAAGCGUAAUCCUCUGCAUUGUUCGCCGUGCCUCGAUGUGAGGGGGCAGGUAUACGUGUACAUGGGUUUGUGGAGUAUGCUGUGUCAUGUACACAUGUUCUGAUAUGAUUUGCCAUGGCCAUCUGAUAUGAUAUACUAUGUUACGGGGUUAUGCCCCUAUUCUGAUUCUUCUGUGUUGUGGCACCAGCGUCGGGAGGGUGGCCACGUUCUGUUUGCCGAGUCCCUUGGCAGGGGCCGGAUUUGAUAUGACAUAUGUUUCUGUACACACUCCGCAUGUUUUGAAGAUAUGUAUUUGAUACUUUGGAUUUUCUACUCACUUUUUCUGUACGUUCUGUACCAGUUAUGAUUUUGGUUCUGUAAUUCAGGCUUUACAUAUUCAGUACAUAUUUCGUACUGACCCCCUUUCUUCGGGGGCUGCGUUUUCAUGCCGCGCAGGUACCGACGACAGGUUUGCUGAUCCGUCCGUCUAGGAUAUCUUUUCUGCCAUUUGGAGCGCUCUUUUAUUCAGAGCCCAUCUUUUGGUACAGUCUGUCACUACUGUAUAUAUAUAUAUAUAUUCUCGUUCAUGGGUACGGCGGGGCCCUGUCCCGUUAUAUGAUUCCGUCGGUCUGUUUAGAGGUCUGUAGACAUGUUUGUGGGUUAGGGUCUUUCUGUACGGAUGCGUGUAUAUGUUGUGUUUGGGCGAUCUCAUUCGCCGCGGCGGCCGGUCCGCAUAUGUUUAAAUGUUGCUUUGUUGGCCCUGGGUGGUCAUUGUUGGUAUUAUCUGUGCGCAGGGUUAAUUUGGAUAGUCUGUAAAACAAAGGAAACUCUGCCGAAAUUUUUCUGGAAAUUAUCUAAAUAUUGAAAUAUAGCCUUGUCGGCUUCUGCUAUAUACUUGAAUGCGUUUGAUAAUAUUCGUUCUCAACUCUGUUUAAAAAUGAUGAUUUAGUUUGUAUGUCCGUUUGGGUGCCCAAGUAGGGCACCAGUCGCGGCCCACGGGGCUGGGUCGUGACAGAAGUGGUAUCAGAGCAGUUCGUCCUCGGAAUGUCUACAGACCGUGUCUAGUAGAGUCUUGUUUAUCGGUGUGUUGUGCACCACAUCUAUAAACAUGAGGCUACAGGACAUUUAGGGUGUUGCCUUUUUUUCAUAUCUAAGAUCGUGCGAUAGAGCCCAGUCAUAGGAAAUGAAAUUCUUUAUACUAACAUUUGAUUUCAACUGAAGAACGACAUCGACAGAAGAAAGUGAUUGAUGAUAUUGAAAGUUUCAAAGUACGCAGGUAAGCAAAGGUACGAAAGGUAUAAGUCGAGUAAGGUAUGGAAGUGCGAUUGAAAUGUAAAGUUGAAAAUUGAAAGAGAAAGUAUAACAGGUGCAGUUUGAGUUGGGCAUACGAGGUAUGUUCAUCACUUUUAUACUGUUGUUAAUAUUGGGAGCCCUGUGUGGCUAUGAUAUGAUAUGAUGUGUAUAUACGUAUAAAUGUUAUCCCUGUGAGGCAUUGUUGGUAUUUCCUGCGUGGAGGUUUUGGGAUAGUAAGAAGUACAGAGAAAACUCUGCCCAAAUUUUCCCAGAAAUAGAAAAAGAGAAUGAGACAUAGGUUUGUAAUAUGUUUUGAAAGGUUGUGUCAAUAGUAAGGAUAUGAUUUGACUAAUUUGCCAAUAUGGCUGACCUCGAGAAAUAAGUUGACUGCCGAAUCGAUGGUAAUAGUAAUUGGGAAGUCGAUAUCGAUAUGGUAAAAAGAAUAAUUUGGAAAGGGUUUAUGAUACUAAGAGAUGAUUUAGAAAAAGGCUGGAUAAUCUUGAUAAAGUGUUAUAGUAAGGUACCGACUGAAUUGAUAAGCAAGGAAAAAAAAUUAUGACGAGUUUAUAGUAAAAGAAGUAGUAGUAUGAUUAAGAUGAGAGUACAGAGGAAAAUGAAUUGUGACGGAUGCGAAUGUAUUGGUAAAACAGGCUGUGAGGUUGUGAAGGAUAAGAUUGACUAGGAACGGUGAAAGGUUAAGUAUGCUUAUACAACACUAAUGUAACAUUCGAGGACGAAUGUUCCUAAGGGGGGAAGAAUGUUACACUCCAUAAUAAUCUGUGCUACUUGUAUUAAAACAAGAAAGAAUGAGUUAAGAAGGUUCAAGGAAAGUUAAUCGAGUUAGUAAGAAUAUCGUUAUAUAUACAUGGUUUCCUUAAGUAUCCCAAGGCGACACGGUUACCUAAAGGGUGUGGAAUCGCGCUAUGAGUAUGUAUAUGAAGUAAUGCGAGUGACCUUUUAAAGUAUUUGAGAUUAUUAGUAAUGAUAUAGAGGGUGGACAAAAGAUAUGAAUAUACUUUUGCGAUUGGAGUUUCGUCAAAGCUUUGUGAGUUCUCUAGUUAUGUUUAAGGUUAUUGUGAGUCUCUGGACCCUUCAAGAUGUGUAUAUGGAUUUUUUUAUUGAUGUAUAUAAGUGUGUAUAUGUAUGCAUAAGAGGUUACAUAAGGUUGGAAGAGGAUUAGAAGUUAAACGAAAUGAAUCGGAACAACUUCAGUAAAAUUUCGGACCCGAUUUUAGUCUAUAUUGUAGGAGGCAUAUCUCCUUGAAUAUGAGGAGUUUUAAGGUGUUUCAAAAUCCUAAAAUGAAGUUCAUCGAGUCUAGUUUGUAAUGCAACAAACCGCUCGUCAAAAUGAUAUCGGGAUAAGGAGAUAUGGACGAUGCAAGUUGGGCUGGCAGGGCAGCAAGUUUGGACCCGACCUAAACACUCACAUUUCGGCCCAUGAGGCCCAUUAAACUCAAUAGAUAAGUCACCACUUUGCCCUAUAUCAUUUCACACGACCUAAAACAGAUCCAAAACCCUUAUUUUCUCUCCCAAACCCCCUUUCUAAUUGAGCCAUCAUAUAAGCUAAAUCCUAGACCCUUGACAUGAUAUUAGUUAAAGAGAAGUUGUAGCUUAAGUUUUUUUUUGUGUUGUUAAGCAAGCAGCUGGAAAGAGGAACAAGAUUCUUGAAGAUUCUGAUUGCUAAAGGUAAUUUCAACCUCCCACUCAUGUUAUCAAUUUGGAUUAAAGGUUUAAUAUGGUGUAUACGUGAAGGAAACGUUGAUAUACAAGCUAGAGAGAGAGAGAGCAUAAGCCAUGGCAUUCGGCCAUGGCUAGCAAAAUUGGAGCUCAAAUUUGUUGAUCCAAAAAUCAGAUUUUCUAGGUAUUUCAGCCCUUAGGAAGGUGAUAAUAACGUGGAGAAUUCAUUUGGAGCAACAAGAACAAGUAUUAGUGCAUUUCACAAAUUCUAACUAAGUGGAAAAAGCCAACUUGUUAAGACCUUGGGGAGCCCGAGGCGUAGAUUGGAAUUUACUUUAGAUUGGCUAUCUUGGAGUGCGUACGAGGUAUGUAAAGCGCAACCCUUCUUUCUUUUGGCAUGCCUUAGUUUUCAAUAGGCUAUAUCACGAGCCUCGAGGAAAUUCCAAAUUCGAAAUCCGAGCACGUUAUGAUCCUUAUAUAUAUUUCUUGGCAUUCUUAUGUAUGUUGUGAUGAAGUAUGAACAAUUAUGUCUUCGAAAGCAUUGAUUUCCAAACUUUGUACAAAAAGUUGUUUUAAAGAAUUCCGUAACUACGAAAUGCCAUAUCUUUUGCAUAAAGGCUCGGAUUGCUCCAAUAUUUUCAUAAGAGUUUGCAUGAUGUAUAAUGAGUAUGUUUUCCAUGAGCGGGCCCGAUUCGGGUCGAUACCCGUUCGUGGGUCCCGCGACUUUUCUUUAUGUAAUUCGGACGACUUUUGAAAGAAUUUGGUAUGAUUAUCAUUUCGAAUUUCAAAUAUGAUCAUUUUACUUAUGUUUGAAUUUAUGAUAAUGAUUUUAUGCAUAUGACUACUCUAUUAACUACUAAACAAAAAUUGUUUUAAAUAGUUCAUUAAGUCUUAUAAAUUGUUUUGGCCCUCGGAACGACUUCAGAAAGGUAUGCUUCUGUAAUUCAUUAUGACAUCCGAAACUCACUUAUUAUGAUCCCGUCUGACUUCAUUGAAUUGGUUUGCCAUUGAUAUGCCUCAUCGAGUCUCUGAAAAUAUUUAUGAUAUUUUAACUGCAUUUAGUUUCUCACUACUCUAUUCGUGGAUGCCCCAAUGUUUCCCACACUGAGCCCGGGCCAGGAUAUGUUGUCAAGCGUAAUCCUCUGCAUUGUUCGCCGUGCCUCGAUGUGAGGGGGCAGGUAUACGUGUACAUGGGUUUGUGGAGUAUGCUGUGCCAUGUACACAUGUUCUGAUAUGAUUUGCCAUGGCCAUCUGAUAUGAUAUACUAUGUUACGGGGUUAUGCCCCUAUUCUGAUUCUUCUGUGUUGUGGCACCAGCGUCGGGAGGGUGGCCACGUUCUGUUUGCCGAGUCCCUUGGCAGGGGCCGGAUUUGAUAUGACAUAUGUUUCUGUACACACUCCGCAUGUUUUGAAGAUAUGUAUUUGAUACUUUGGAUUUUCUACUCACUUUUUCUGUACGUUCUGUACCAGUUAUGAUUUUGGUUCUGUAAUUCAGGCUUUACAUAUUCAGUACAUAUUUCGUACUGACCCCCUUUCUUCGGGGGCUGCGUUUUCAUGCCGCGCAGGUACCGACGACAGGUUUGCUGAUCCGUCCGUCUAGGAUAUCUUUUCUGCCAUUUGGAGCGCUCUUUUAUUCAGAGCCCAUCUUUUGGUACAGUCUGUCACUACUGUAUAUAUAUAUAUAUAUUCUCGUUCAUGGGUACGGCGGGGCCCUGUCCCGUUAUAUGAUUCCGUCGGUCUGUUUAGAGGUCUGUAGACAUGUUUGUGGGUUAGGGUCUUUCUGUACGGAUGCGUGUAUAUGUUGUGUUUGGGCGAUCUCAUUCGCCGCGGCGGCCGGUCCGCAUAUGUUUAAAUGUUGCUUUGUUGGCCUUGGGUGGUCAUUGUUGGUAUUAUCUGUGCGCAGGGUUAAUUUGGAUAGUCUGUAAAACAAAGGAAACUCUGCCGAAAUUUUUCUGGAAAUUAUCUAAAUAUUGAAAUAUAGCCUUGUCGGCUUCUGCUA